rnacentral:lncRNA from 1 species
AUGCAGCAAAUGAUGGACAGAAUUGGUCACUUUAAUCUCUCAGGGUUCAAAUACAAACAUACCCUCCUGCACUCUCUCUCUCUCCAUCCGUUUCAUGUUCCCACCCUCCUGCACUCUCUCUCUCCAUCCCUUUCAUGUUCCCACCCUCCUGCACUCUCUCUCUCCAUCCGUUUCAUGUUCCUACCCUCCUGCACUCUCUCUCUCCAUCCCUUUCAUGUUCCCACCCUCCUGCACUCUCUCUCUCCAUCCCUUUCAUGUUCCCACCCUCCUGCACUCUCUCUCUCUCCAUCCGUUUCAUGUUCCCACCCUCCUGCACUCUCUCUCUCCAUCCCUUUCAUGUUCCCACCCUCCUGCACUCUCUCUCUCCAUCCGUUUCAUGUUCCCACCCUCCUGCACUCUCUCUCUCUCCAUCCGUUUCAUGUUCCCACCCUCCUGCACUCUCUCUCUCUCCAUCCGUUUCAUGUUCCCACCCUCCUGCAGUCUCUCUCCAUCCCUUUCAUGUUCCCACCCUCCUGCACUCUCUCUCUCCAUCCGUUUCGUGUUCCUCUCUCCAUCCGUUUCGUGUUCCACCCUCCUGCGCUCUCUCUCUCCAUCCGUUUCGUGUUCCACCCUCCUGCGCUCUCUCUCUCCAUCCGUUUCGUGUUCCACCCUCCUGCGCUCUCUCUCUCCAUCCGUUUCGUGUUCCACCCUCCUGCGCUCUCUCUCCAUCCAUUUCAUGUUCCACCCUCCUGCGCUCUCUCUCUCCAUCCAUUUCAUGUUCCCACCCUCCUGCACUCUCUCCAUCCGUUUCAUGUUCCCACCCUCCUGCACUCUCUCCAUCCGUUUCAUGUUCCCACCCUCCUGCACUCUCUCCAUCCGUUUCGUGUUCCACCCUCCUGCGCUCUCUCUCUCCAUCCGUUUCGUGUUCCCACCCUCCUACACUCUCUCCAUCCGUUUCGUGUUCCACCCUCCUGCGCUCUCUCUCUCCAUCCGUUUCGUGUUCCACCCUCCUGCGCUCUCUCUCUCCAUCCGUUUCAUGUUCCCACCCUCCUACACUCUCUCCAUCCGUUUCGUGUUCCACCCUCCUGCACUCUCUCCAUCCGUUUUGUUUUCCACCCUCCUGCACUCUCUCCAUCCGUUUCGUGUUCCACCCUCCUGCACUCUCUCCAUCCGUUUCGUGUUCCACCCUCCUGCACUCUCUCCAUCCGUUUCGUGUUCCACCCUCCUGCACUCUCUCCAUCCGUUUCGUGUUCCACCCUCCUGCGCUCUCUCUCUCCAUCCGUUUCGUGUUCCACCCUCCUGCGCUCUCUCUCUCCAUCCGUUUCGUGUUCCACCCUCCUACACUCUCUCCAUCCGUUUCGUGUUCCACCCUCCUGCACUCUCUCCAUCCGUUUCGUGUUCCACCCUCCUGCACUCUCUCCAUCCGUUUCGUGUUCCACCCUCCUACACUCUCUCCAUCCGUUUCGUGUUCCACCCUCCUGCGCUCUCUCUCCAUCCGUUUCGUGUUCCACCCUCCUGCGCUCUUCCCUCUCCCUUUGUGCACUGUGA